AAAUAAUAAUCAAGAAGCUAACGAAACAAGGCAAGAGUUAUGUUUUUGAAGCAACGGAGCAAGAGUCGAAUCUCUCUUUCCCAUCUCCCCUUCUAAAGGUGGCUUCAAUAGCUGCCACAUAACUAUGCAAUGUUCCGGAAAAAAAGAAAAGCUUGGGCCCGGAGGACAAAGAAAAUUAUGUUUGUGAUUACUACAUUUACAGAAACAUAGAUAAAUUGAAUAACGUUUCCUCUUCUUUCGCCAAUCACCUUCCAUGGAGGUCCUUCAAUGGGGUUCAUCCAACUUUCAAGAGCUUUACCCUCUACUUUGUCCACGGUGAAAGGCUGUUCAUGAUUUUUAUCAUACCUGCAAUAAGUAAGUUCAUGGAAAAUUCUCUGCUUGCAAAAACCCUUUUUGCCUAUGAAUGAUGUGCACUUAAAUGUUAUUAUAUUAAAUCCCACUUGCAGUCUUAGCUCAAAUGACAGAGCAC